GCUCUGCGUCUCCUUACCCUGGGCCUAGCUUCCCCCAGGAAAUGGGAAGCUAGAAGUCGCUGAGUCUGGGGGUGUUGGGAGAAGGGGGCGGUGAUUUCCACAGGGGUCACCUCCUUCUUAACCUCACAGGCGUCCGACCUGUGGAAAUCUAACAAGCAUAGGGGAAAGCAAAGGCAGCAUCUUAGCCCUCCCGGAGCCGGUGCCGGCCCGCGAGCCCCAGCGUCUCUGCAGACCAGUCCCCUCCAGGGUCCGGCGGGGCCCGCGCGGUGGGAGGAGUCGGGCACUGGCCGGCGACUAACGGGUCCGACUGCUGACCAAGCUAGGAGAGACCCGGACCACGGAGACAGAGACCCCGGCAUCGCGACCCCCGAGGACCUCCUCUCCUCGCCCUGUGGCACCCACUAGUCCUGGGCACUCAGCCGCGGAGAGCCCCCGACCCCGCGCGCCCAGCCCCGGGGGAGCCCACCUCCUCCCCGCGGCCCGCCCGGGCCAUGCUCCCCCGGGGCAGCGGGUGAGCCCCAGCCGGGACCGGGAUCGGAGCCCGCGCGGAGCAUGGAUCCGGGCUGGGG
rnacentral:lncRNA from 1 species